AUGAAGGGUGCGGGAGAGGGUGCUGAUGCACCGCCGAAGGAGCAAGGGGAGGAUUCCCGAUCCUCCCGCGAAACUCUCAGGCAAAAGUACCGCAUCCGGACG
rnacentral:ncRNA from 3 species